CAGCAGCCACGGUAAUACGUAGGUGGCAAGCGUUGUCCGGAAUUAUUGGGCGUAAAGGGCUCGCAGGCGGUUUCUUAAGUCUGAUGUGAAAGCCCCCGGCUCAACCGGGGAGGGUCAUUGGAAACUGGGAAACUUGAGUGCAGAAGAGGAGAGUGGAAUUCCACGUGUAGCGGUGAAAUGCGUAGAGAUGUGGAGGAACACCAGUGGCGAAGGCGACUCUCUGGUCUGUAACUGACGCUGAGGAGCGAAAGCGUGGGGAGCGAACAGGAUUAGAUACCCCCGUAGUCCCUGUCUCUUAACA
rnacentral:rRNA from 1 species